UACAGAGGGUGCGAGCGUUAAUCGGAAUUACUGGGCGUAAAGCGUGCGUAGACGGCUAUCUAAGUCGGGUGUGAAAGCCCCGGGCUCAACCCGGGAAUUGCAUUCGAGACUGAAUAGCUAGGGUACGGUAGAGGGAAGCGGAAUUUCCGGUGUAGCGGUGAAAUGCGUAGAUAUCGGGAGGAACACCUGCGGUGUAGACGGCUUACUGGACCAUAACUGACGCUGAGGCACGAAAGCGUGGGUAGCAAACAGG
rnacentral:rRNA from 1 species